UACGUAGGGGGCCGAGCGUUGUCCGGAGUUAUUGGGCGUAAAGCGCGCGCAGGCGGCCUCGCGCGCCCGACGUGAAAGCCCCCGGCUUAACCGGGGAGGGUCGUUGGGGACGGCGGGGCUUGAGGGCGGGAGAGGUCGGUGGAAUUCCCGGUGUAGUGGUGAAAUGCGUAGAGAUCGGGAGGAACACCUGUGGCGAAGGCGGGUCUCUGGGCCGAUACUGACGCUGAGGAGCGAAAGCAUGGGUAGCGAACAGGG
rnacentral:rRNA from 1 species